AACGAACGCUGGCGGCAGGCCUAACACAUGCAAGUCGAGCGAGGACUUCGGUUCUAGCGGCGGACGGGUGAGUAACGCGUGGGAAUGUGCCCUUCUCUACGGAAUAGCCCUGGGAAACUGGGAGUAAUACCGUAUACGCCCUAUUGGGGAAAGAUUUAUCGGAGAAGGAUCAGCCCGCGUUGGAUUAGGUAGUUGGUGGGGUAAUGGCCUACCAAGCCGACGAUCCAUAGCUGGUUUGAGAGGAUGAUCAGCCACACUGGGACUGAGACACGGCCCAGACUCCUACGGGAGGCAGCAGUGGGGAAUCUUAGACAAGGGGGGCAACCCUGAUCUAGCCAUGCCGCGUGAGUGAUGAAGGCCUUAGGGUUGUAAAGCUCUUUCAGCUGGGAAGAUAAGGACGGUACCAGCAGAAGAAGCCCCGGCUAACUCCGU
rnacentral:rRNA from 1 species